CCGCCUUAGAAUCAGGUGAAGAGCGGUGGGGGCGGGGCAGUGGAGAAGAGACUUGUCCAAGGUCUUGUGGCCCUCCCCAAGACCCCCCCUCUGUCCCCCAACUCCUUCUGCUGGCACGGCUGCCGUUUGGGCUUUGGCCACUGGGUGGCGCCUCUGGGCCGCUCGCUCGGCCCUCGCCUUGGGCUGGGGGGGCUGGAGGCAGCCCUCCAUGGUGGGCAGCCUGUCUGGCUGUUUGCUCCUCUGUAAAAGGGGGCCGGGAGGACCAUCCCCCCUCCCCUCCCCCCUAUGUGGUCUCAGGCUUCCUAGCUGCCCCACCCCCACUGCUCGGGCCUCCAGCCUCCCCUCCUGGCCUGGAGAGACCCCGGAGAGGGGGAGCCUCCAGCCUCCAUUGGGCCUGCCUGGCCAGGGAGGCUCCGUGUUUUUCUCCCUGCUGUUGGGCCUCCCUGCAGUCCUCCUGCGGCUUCUGACCCCUCUUGGCCCCUCUCGGCCCCCCUCAGCCUCUCCCCAAAUAGCCCAAAAGCCUUGGUGGGGUGCCUCGUGGUCAGGAUGGCUCAGGAGGGACUCGAACUCAGUUCUUCCCGCAGCCUCCUCGUCCCCCACUGGGCCUCUUCCUCGGAUGGGGUCGGGUCUCCCCCACCGGCCUCCACCUGCCUUUGGAGGCUCCCCUUGUCUCAGGGUGUCGGGUGGUUCUUCGCUGGGCUCCAUCUGGGGGGGGUCCCCGUGCCUUUGGGGGGGGUCUUUUCACUCUCCCUUCCCAGCCCUGUGGAUGAUGGAGGGUCAGGCAUUGCUGCCUGCUGAUUUGUGGCUGAUUUCUGGGGGGCUGGGGAGGUGCUGGUCUUCCAGGGCCCAGGGAGGCCUUCCUGGAGGAGGCAGGAUUUCAGCUGGGACUGGAGGGAGACCAGGAGGAGGUGACGCAGUGAGGGCAGGUGGGAGAGGGAGUCUGUGCAGUGGAGAGUCCUGGGACGUCAUGGAGGCCUUGAAUGCCAAAAGGAAGAUGGUGCUGUUGCUUCUGGAGGCCCUGGGCAGCCUCCAGAGGUUACUAGGGGAAGUCAGCCCCACACUUCAGGGGGUCCCUAGCAGGCCCACUGGGCCCCUCAACCCCACCUCCUGCCUUGGACCUUCCCGGAGCCCCAGCCUGGGUGGGCUGAGGGGGGCACAGGUGUGUCCUGGGCCAGAGCCAGACUUGGGGGGGCCCCUGGAGGUGUCAGGGGCUCCCCUUCCCCCACCUUUCCCUUCUUGGAAUCAAGGCCAAUGAAGGGCCGCCAGGGGGGUGCGGUGACUCAGCCAGAGAGUGUUGGAGGCCGGCUCCGGCCCGACUCUCUGUCCAGCCACCCGGCCUGGCCCCUCGAGGCCCCCUCUGACGUCCCCGCCUCUCCACAGCCCCCACCCCGUGAAGCCCCUCAGCGCGGCCCCUCCCGAAGCGGCCACAGACAAGAAGCCGCCUCGCUCCAGCCUCGGCUCGGCCCUGACCAGUGGCCUGGAGAAACUCAAGACGGUCACGUCCGGCAGCGUCCAGCCCGUGGCUCCCCAGGCCGAGCACACGGCCGAGUCCAAGGGGAAGCUGAAGGACCCCUCGCAGCCCCCCGACCAGGCGGCCAAGUAUUACCACCUGACGCACGACGAGCUGAUCGCCCUCCUGACGCAGCGCGAGCGCGAGCUGAGCCGCCGCGACGAGCACGUGCACGAGCUGGAGAGCUACAUCGACCAGCUGCUGGUGCGCAUCAUGGACACGUCGCCCACCCUGCUGCAGAUCCCCGCCGGGCCCCGCGGGCGCCCCAAGUGAGCCCACGCAGGCACACGCGCACACGCAGACACACACGCACACACUCCGCACACAGGCACACAUAUGCAGACGCACCCACACACAUGUACACGCACACGCGUGCACCCCUGCAGGCACCGGCUCUUCCCAGCAGUGGAUGUCGGCCUCGUCCCGGCCCCUCCCCAGACGGGCACCCCGGUGCGUGUAGGGGUGCUGGGUGGGAUUCGGGGUCCCUGUCUCUGCCUGGCCCGGCUUCCUGUCCCGGAUCCGUUCGGGUUUUGCCCCUUCGAAGCUUCUCUGUUCUCCGCUUUGCCGUUCAUAUGCCCAAAGCGCAGCCCGGCGGCGCGUCCUUAGCAAAAAUCACUAGAACGUAACAUGUGCCUUGUGGGGGGGCCGGCGGGGCGGAGGCUGGGGGGGGCCACCUGUCCCGCCUUCCUUUCCAUGAUGGGCUUUUCCCACCUGCCCUCCCCCAGAGAGAAGAGGGGGUGCCCCUGGUCAGGGAGGAGGGGCUUUGGGGUGCAGGAGACCGGAAUGGGGGGCUGGGUGUGCCCCCUGGGGCUCUCCUGGCCACACUGGGUUGCUGCCCUUUGGGGUGCCCCCUGGCCCCUGGCCCGCUGCCUUAGCGCCCCACUGCUGCACUUUAAAAAGGAAGCCUCAUCCAUGGGGUGGGGGGAGGCCUGGAGCCCCGUGUGUGGGGGGGCCGGAGAUGGAGACCUCAGAUGCCCCCUCGUAGGCGAAGCCGGCAUAUGCACCCCAAGUUGGCGCAGAGUGAGGGGGCCACCAGCUUUGCUUCCCGUUUGUCCUCCCUGUUGUCCUCCUGUUCUGACGAGCUUGUUCUUUGCGUUUGAAGCACUUUACAAAGAAUAAAAAUUGGAUUCCUCUAGGCA